rnacentral:snoRNA from 1 species
GGGGCUCUGACUGAAGACCCCCGGUUUGCUGUAGCCGAUGGUUUCAAACAGGAGCCCAGAGGAAACGUCUCCCGGGUCUGUUGGUGCUCCCAGCCCAUGGAACGACCAAUUCGUGUGGGAGAGACACUG